rnacentral:rRNA from 1 species
AACGAACGCCGGCGGCAUGCCUAACACAUGCAAGUCGAACGAAGCCUUCGGGCUUAGUGGCGCACGGGUGCGUAACGCGUGGGAAUCUGCCCUUUGGUUCGGAAUAACAGUUGGAAACGACUGCUAAUACCGGAUGAUGACGAAAGUCCAAAGAUUUAUCGCCAGAGGAUGAGCCCGCGUAGGAUUAGCUAGUUGGUGUGGUAAAGGCGCACCAAGGCGACGAUCCUUAGCUGGUCUGAGAGGAUGAUCAGCCACACUGGGACUGAGACACGGCCCAGACUCCUACGGGAGGCAGCAGUGGGGAAUAUUGGACAAUGGGCGAAAGCCUGAUCCAGCAAUGCCGCGUGAGUGAUGAGGGCCUUAGGGUUGUAAAGCUCUUUUACCCGGGAUGAUAAUGACAGUACCGGGAGAAUAAGCUCCGGCUAACUCCGUGCCAGCCGCCGCGGUAA